CGAAUUUGGCAGAGUCUUUCAAUGUAAUAGUCCCAGGAAUCAUGUCAGUGCCCAUUGACUUGCCCGGCACUCCGUUCAACAAAGCCAUUAAGGCCUCAGUGGUCAUUAAGGAGAAGCUGUUGAAGAUUAUCAGACAGAGGAAGGAGGACCUAGCUAAUGGAACAGCCUCAGUCACACAGGACAUUCUGUCUCACAUGUUGUCAUCAUGCGAUGAGAAUGGACAGUAUAUGGCUGAUCGAUAUAUUGCUGACAAGAUCCUUGGCCUGUUGAUAGGAGGCCACGACACUGCAAGCUCUGCAUGCACUUUUGUCGUCAAAUACCUUGCUGAGCUCCCUCCCAAUAUUUAUGAUAAUGUCUAUCAGGGUAUAUCACUCUCUUGCUUUGUCUUCUUUCAACAUGAAUAAGCAUAUAUUUUACAUGGUUAUUAAGCAUAAACUAAUAUAUAUAUCAUUAUCUUUAAAAGUUAUAUAAAGGAUGAUUUUUAUUGAUUAACAACGUAAGAAAUACAUUCCUAAUAGGAAACUCUUGAAUGAUAAUUUGUUUAAUUUAUGUUGUAAUUUGGUCAGAACAAAUGGAGAUUGCAAAAUCGAAAGCUCCGGGAGAGUUGUUGAAUUGGGAUGACAUCCAGAAGAUGAAAUAUUCGUGGAAUGUUGCUUGUGAAGUAAUGAGGCUUGCCCCUCCACUCCAAGGUGCUUUUAGGGAAGCCAUGAAUGACUUUAUGUUCAAUGGAUUCUCAAUUCCAAAAGGCUGGAAGGUAUUGUUAAUGCAUGAAAGUAUUGUCCUAUAAUAUAUAAGAAAAAGUGUGUUAGUGAGAUAAGAGGAAAGAUGAAUGGAAUUGUUGAAUGUGUUUUGGUGUUGAUGCAGUUGUAUUGGAAUGCAAGUUCGACACAUAGGAAUCCAGAGUGCUUCCCAGAGCCAGAGAAAUUUGAUCCAAGUAGAUUUGAAGGAACAGGACCAGCUCCUUAUACUUUCGUGCCAUUUGGAGGAGGACCAAGGAUGUGCCCUGGAAAAGAGUAUGCACGAAUGGAAAUAUUGGUUUUCAUGCACAACUUGGUGAAAAGGUUCAAGUGGGAAGCCAUUAUUCCUAAUGAGAAAGUUAUUAUAGAUCCCUUGCCUGUUCCUGCAAAAGGCCUUCCUGUUCGUCUUUAUCCUCACCAACCUUGAAAACAGAAUUAUAUUUUGAUAUUCUCAACCAAUCUCAAUCCUUGUGCACUAGUUCUAUGGCCUAAAGUCUGAAUAAUGUCUCUCCUUAUUUAUUUGUAAUAUAGGUUGUAUUUAUGGGACUUAAAAAUAAUCAUCCUUGGUUUUUCCAUUCUUUAAUACUACUAUCACAAAUAUCAUGCUACACUAUAAAAAAAAAAAUGAAAUUGAAUAAGACGGAUUUUGAGGUAGAAUGAUUAUCGUGAGACAAAGAAAAAGUGUUUUAGAAAUUAUAUUUAAUGAUAAGUAGUGGUGGAACUUACUCUUGUAUUGGGGUUUUAUGCUUUCAAUUUUUUUACAUGUAUAUAAAUCGGCAUAUAAUUUGUUUAAAAUUUUAGUAUAUUUUUAUAUAUUUGACAUAUUUGUAUACCCAGAAAAAAUUUAAUACUCAAAAAUAUUUUUUAAAAAUUUGUGAUAAAAAUAAUUUACUACAGAAAAUUAUUAAAUAAAAACUAAUUUUAAAGAUAAAAAAUAAUUAGUUAUUAUAUUAAUUAAAUUAAAUAUCAUUUCAUAAACUAAAAAAUUAUUGAUAUUUAAAGUAGUUUUUUUAUAAUAAACUUUUAUUAUAAACUAGUUUCUAAAUUCGUGUUUUAUUAGCUACUAAGAUUUUAACUAUCAACCACUUUAACCUUUUAAUGAUUAUAUCAUUGACAUAUAUAAGAACAGAUAAAGUAGAGUGACCAACAAAUUUAGUGAAUAAGGAAGAAUCACUCUUAGUGUGCGUAAAACCAUUUGAACAUAGAAUUAUACUCAGCUUUUGAAAUCAAGAACGUGGAACUUGUUUGAGGUUGUAUGUAGCCUUUUGUAAUCUACACACAAGGUUGGAAUCAACAACCAAAACCUUGUGGUUGUUGUAUAUAAAUGGUUUUUUGUAAGUCACCAUAAAAAAAAUGUAUUGUUGAUAUCUGUACCGACCAGGUCAUCGGGUGUGAUGACGUGGACAAGAGGAAGGUAGGUGGUCAAGAAGUCAACAUAGUCGCCAUAUGUAGAAGCGGCGUUCUGCAGUAUACAUAAUCGGUUAUCGCCGAGAUGUGUCGCCGCUAAGAUGAGUCAUCGCCUAAGAGAAGGACAUCACCUAAGCAAGACGUCGCCCAAGCGAGACGUCGCCCAAGCGAGACAUCGCCUAAGUAAGACAUCGCCCGAAGAGUCAAUCCGCGUGACAGAAGCAUUUCGCAGAGAAGAGGGCCCACACGAUGGAAUAACCCUAAGUUGGGUGGCGGCGUUGUGGAACCCUCCGCACAGAAUAAACGAUCGAGUCAAAGGGGCACGUGACAAUGCCCACGUGCUCAUUAAAGAUCUCCAAGGAAGGCUGCAUGCAUGACACGUGAUUAAUUAGGGCACCCACGAAGUAUGAUGGCGCGAGAGAUACGGCACUCAAGUUAGAACCCAAGCGGCCACAAGGUUAUUCAUUGCACUCCAGAUAAGGGAAGUCCAUGUGCCAGAUACGCUCAGAUCCUAGGAAUAGCGGCAUAAGGACCUUCUCCAAGGAACCCUAGAUAAGAGCAACAGCGCAAAGGUAAACCCUAGUUUCCACCUAUAUAAAGGGCACUAAGAGCCCUAGUAAGGUACAGUUUUACAAGCUUUAACCUAAUUCUCAUAGUUACACAGAGCACUAAACCCUAGUUGUUCUUGACGGCGCACCCACUGUGAGCACAAGGCAAUUAGGGCAACACAGUUCAGUUCUUUAGUACAGUUUUCGACCACCCUCAGAGCAUUCUCAAGUGUUCCGAUACGGGGGUGCGUCACCUUUGAUGUUUCUCGCUAGCUGACUUGAUUGUCGGAGUGCAAACGGCCGCGAGGGCGCCCCUUUGUUCUUCUUUUUCAGGUACUCAUAGACGAGGUAGAACGAAGGUGUCCUAGCUCGUGAGGACAAGCCACGCAUAAAGACGACCCAGGUCAACCGGCGGGAACAAUAUCAAUUUGAUAAAUUGGUCACUUUGAAGAUGAGGUUAGCGUGAGAAUGAUGCAAAUGGUAGUGGGUUUAACAAUAAGAAUGAAAGUUUUAUGUGUAAUCAAAACUUUAUGUUUGAUGAAAGUCUUUGACAACAACCCUUGUUAUGUGUCAUUGAAAGGUUGAUAUGAUUCCAAAUAGAACUAAUAAUAGAAUAAAGAAUUUAGGAUUACGAAAUUGAAUCAAUUAAAAACAAUAACAAUGAAAACCUGAAGAGAGGGAGGCGCCACAAACAAGGUUUGAUAAGCUUAAAGAUGAUCGUCACAAGAAUUGGUGAAUUCAUGAUAAGAUCGCAAGAUGCAGGAAAUAACCAUGAUAGAGAUAUACUCUCUUUAUCAAAUUGCCAAAAACAUUUCUCCAUAUUUUGAAUUUCAAAAGUGUAUAAAUACAAAUUUAGUUAUAUGUCUUGUAUCGUUUGCAAGGAAAUAAAAUAAAAAUAGAAUCUCCAUAUUUCAAGAAAUGAUCAUUUGUCCCAAUAAUUAAGUUGAUACUUUCUAGCCGUUUCUUGAUUCAAAAUUCUAACUCUACCAAAAUAAUAAUAUUUCCUCAAAAAAUUGUGCUUAUUUAGGGUCUUAUAAAAAGGAUAGCAAGCAGAUCAAUAAUUUUCCCUAAGGAUUUUAAAGCAGGUGUUCCAUUGAGAGAGCAACGUGGGAGGGAGAGCAAUGGUUAGGGUAUAAUUCAAAGAAACACAUUGUUUUUGGCAAAUUUGAAAACACCAGGUAAAUGUUUAGAAAUUCAACAAAUGGUUUUAAAAAAUGUUGUGGAAGAAUGUGGGACAGUGUAAGUUGCAGAACCAAUAUUUUUUGUAGUCAAACCUUCCAUUACUUGUUUUGACCAAAUCAGAACUCGUGUAAAGUCGUUCUUGAUCAUUUUUGUUUUCAUGUAACAGAUAUAGUGUGAUGACUUUAAAAAUAAAUAUAUAUAAUAAAAAAUAAAUUUAAAAUUAAAUAAUAUAAAAAGAUAUUAAAAUAAUAAUAUUAAAAAUUAUAAUGUGAUUAUAUAAAAAGUGUGGAUUAUGUUAUCUGAAGUAAUGUUAUCAUUUGUGGAAUGCUCAUAGACAUGUAACACAUGAGAGUAAGUAAUAAGAGAAGAAAGUGAUAGAAGUAACAAUGGAAGUGUAAUAUAAUUGGAACUCAUGAGGAGAGGAAUCCAAAUUAAAAACUCAGAGAUUAAAACAAAAGUUAAAAAAAAAUUGUUGUAAUUGUAUUUUAUGCUUGUUAAAUCUGUAAGCACAUGUAAGUAUAGACAUUUAGAUUUGCUAUGACAGAAAGUUUGAAUGAUCCAAAAGUUUAAUUUUGUUUCGAAAGAGUGUCGGAAUCUUUGAUGCUAUAGACUAUAGAUUAUUUUGGGUGUCCAGGUGUCACUCUGCAACGUUUAAUGCCACUUGUCAAUCUGAAAUGCGCACAACAAAAUGACGUGUCCUUAAUCAUUAAUUUUCACUAUUUAUGCAUGCAGAGACGCUUUUUUUAAAAAUCAUAAAGAACCAGUUCCAAUUAUAUAAUAUUAUUAUAAUUUUUUACUGUUAUUUUUUAUUAUUAUUCUUAACACAUGCAUGGAUAACUAAAAAGCUCUUCAUGGAUAUUAUAUUAUUUUUUGUGAAAGAUGACACGUGGCAUAUUUUGUGUACAGGUGUGAUGAAUUGAUGAUAAAAAGGAGACAGUUGGCAUACUGCAUGGCCUUCUGCAUGCUGAUUCGGAUCACUUCAGCUGAAUCAGUCGUACACAUUAAAUAAUUCAGCUUUAUGGAAAUUUGUUGUACUAGUUUUCAGUGCUGAACCUAUUCAUAGAAAUUGAUCAAUUUAAGAUUUUAGGCAUUUGUUUUAAAAACAGAUUAAUUAAAAAAUUAAAGUUUAAGGUAUUUAUUUAUAAAUAGAAUAAAUUCUAUAAAUUCAUGAAGAACAUUAAAAUUCAGGGUUUAUAUUCAUAAAAAUAAAAUUAGAAGAUCAUAUCAUUUUUGGUAAUUUUGUAUUAUUAAUUAAUUGGAAUUAUAGUUGUUAUAACUAUUAAGAUACUCAUUAUAGGAUUUAUUAACUAUAUAUUACUCCUAUUACUAAAUUCAUACUACCAAUUAAUUAGAAAUUAUGGUUAAUAUAAAUAAUAGUUUAUGAAUUAUAUCGUAAAACUAUUUCAUAAUAUUGAUAAAAAAAAUAUUUUCUAUUUAUUUUAAAAGUUAAUAAUAUGCUUAUUAUACAAACCAAUUUAUUAUUAAGUGACAAUAUAUUUUUUUACUAACAAUACUAGACAAUUUUUCUCCAAUAUUAUUAUUCAUUUCUUAGUGAGGAAAUAAUUUUGCCACACACAGUUUCUCUCCUCUUUCCGGACAGUUUGAUGAGUGAAGAAAACGAUGGUAUAAAAUUUGGAAAUGUAAAAAAACAAGUAUGGUUAUUUGAAAUAAGUUAUUUUUAAUACAAAAUUAUUAAGCAUAAAUUAUUACUUUCCAAAUUUUCAAAUUAUACGCACUCUAUACAAAAAAAUUCUUUUCACCUCCAACAUUGUUACUGUGAAGGAAAAUGUUUUGUUAACAAAAGUAAAUAACAUUAUUCAACAACCCUUUAUAAUAAUAUUAUAAUAUUUUAAAUAAAAAAUUAAAAUUAAAAUAAUUAAAAUAUUAAUUAAUUUGUUUGUUUGUUAAGUGUAUGUGUCAAGUAUCAGGUUCCUACUAUAACUAUGCCGACCAAAAAAAGAAAUAUUUAUUAUGAAUACACGCUUCGCACGAGCACACCGUAGCACUAGCACGAAUACACAAUUCUCAGUAAACUUCUAAGAAAGAGAAGAUACUCCUCCUUCAUCUGCUACAUUAUGAUAAAUGAAAGUCUGCGAUCAAAAAUUUUCUGGAGCUUAUAAAUGCGCCAGAAAGAGAGAAAAAUAACUGUGCGAAAAGAAAGUAAAAACAUGGAGCAGUUUUAUCUCUCCCUUCUGCUCCUCUUUGUGUCCCUCAUCUCUGUCGCUUUUUUCUUCCUUUUCUAUAGCCAUUAUGCUCAGUCCUCUGACCCUAACUUGCCGCCGGGAAAUAUGGGGUUCCCGGCGAUCGGCGAGAGUAUUGAGUAUCUAUCAUUGGGGUGGAAAGGGCAUCCAGAGAAGUUCAUAUACGAACGCAUGGCCAAGUACUCUUCCAAAGUGUUCAAAACCUCUCUCUUUGGAGAGAGUACAGUUAUGCUCUGUGAAGCUGAAUGCAACAAGUUCUUGUUCUCUAACGAAAACAAACUGGUCGUGUCUUGGUGGCCAGACAAUGUGAACAAGAUAUUCCCAUCAUCGCUUGAAACCAGCUCUAAGGUUGAAGCCAAGAAGCUGAGGCAGAUGCUCCCUCAGUUCCUCAGCGCCCAAGCCCUCCAAGGUUACGUUGGUAUCAUGGACACCGUCGCCCAAAGACACUUCGCUUCAGAAUGGGAGAACAACACCUCUGUCAUCGUCUUCCCCUUGGCCAAGAGGUGCUUAUUCCUCUUUAACUUUUUUCUCUUUCGACUCUAAUGGAGUUGUGCAUGGUUUCCUUACUUGCAUGUGACAAGCUUGAUGUUGACUUGAAACCUAGUAUUAAAACAAACUUUUAAAAACGAAACAUCUGAUCCUAGAUUGUUUGGUUUAACGUUGUUUACUCUGCAUGCAUGUUUUUUCUUCCAUUUGGUGCAAUGUUUACCUUCAUGUUCACCAACUUUCUCAACACAGCUAUACCUUCUGGGUGGCUUGCCGUUUGUUCUUGAACGUUGAUGAUCCGAUCCAUGUGGCGAAUUUGGCAGAGUCUUUCAAUAAAAUAGCCCCAGGAAUCAUGUCAGUGCCCAUUGACUUGCCCGGCACUCCGUUCAACAAAGCCAUCAAGGCCUCAGUGAUCAUUAAGGAGAAGCUGUUGAAGAUUAUCAGACAGAGGAAGGAGGACUUGGCUAAUGGAACAGCCUCAGUCACACAAGACAUUCUGUCUCACAUGUUGUCAUCAUGCGAUGAGAAUGGACAGUAUAUGGCUGAUCGAUAUAUUGCUGACAAGAUCCUUGGCCUGUUGAUAGGAGGCCACGACACUGCAAGCUCUGC
rnacentral:lncRNA from 1 species